CAGAUUUCCGAUAUUUUGAUGUGAAUGAACCAAACUAAAAACAAAAUAGCCGAACAACAAUGCUUAUGGCAGUAUUGCACCUGAAGAAAUUGACCUCCUCCGGCAAACCAAGAUAAUUCUGUUACAUUCUGGCAGAUGCAGCCGCCUCAACUCCUACAGUGCAAGGAUUGAUGGCAACGUGCAAGAUGUGUGUCCCGAUUGUAACCGGGGACCGCAUGAUACACGUCACCUGUUUAACUGCCCAGCCAGACCCAGACCCAGAUUCCUGUGGACGCUCCCCAUCUUAGUCGCAGAGUUCCUGGGUCUUGACACUCAACAGAAUCAAGCAGACGAAAUAGAGAACACAACAAACAAACUGCUACAACAACAACAACUGCUUAUGGCGAUUGAAAAGUGUUCCAUAGAGACAUGUUAAAGAAGCACAACGGGUAUGAUGAUCAAAAUGUCGCAUUAUAGCAGAAAUGACAAUAAAACGGCAAGCCACCAAUUAUAAAAAGUUUGUUUCCAUAAGGCGGCCUGUUAGGAAAACAUUCUUUAACUGAAAGCUAAAUGCUGGAAUGUGAAAAGCUGACGGUCAUUAGAAAAAUAUCUAAAACUUAUUUUAAUACUAUGGUUUUUAUUUUUGAAAACUAAUAAAAUCACUAAACAACCUUUGUAAAAUAAAU
rnacentral:sRNA from 1 species